AGAGCGAACGCUGGCGGCAUGCUUAACACAUGCAAGUCGCACGGGCAGGGGCAACCCUGUCAGUGGCGGACGGGUGAGUAACGCGUAGGUAUCUAUCCUUGGGUGGGGGACAACCGUGGGAAACUACGGCUAAUACCGCAUGAUGACUGAGGUCCAAAGCCCGCGAGGGUGCCUGGGGAGGAGCCUGCGUACGAUUAGCUAGUUGGUGGGGUAAAGGCCUACCAAGGCGAUGAUCGUUAGCUGGUCUGAGAGGAUGAUCAGCCACAUUGGGACUGAGACACGGCCCAAACUCCUACGGGAGGCAGCAGUGGGGAAUAUUGGACAAUGGGCGCAAGCCUGAUCCAGCAAUGCCGCGUGUGUGAUGAGGCCCUAGGGUUGUAAAGCUCUUUGUGCGGGAAGAUAAUGACGGUACCGCAAGAAUAAGCCCGGCUAACUCGCGCCAGCAGCCGC
rnacentral:rRNA from 1 species